ACGUAGGGGGCGAGCGUUGUCCGGAAUUAUUGGGCGUAAAGGGUGCGUAGGCGGCCAAAUAAGUCAGAUGUGAAAUACCGGGGCUUAACUCCGGGGCUGCAUUUGAAACUAUAUGGCUGGAGUACAGGAGAGGGAAGCGGAAUUCCUAGUGUAGCGGUGAAAUGCACAGAUAUUAGGAGGAACACCAGUGGCGAAGGCGGCUUUCUGGACUGUAACUGACGCUGAGGCACGAAAGCGUGGGGAGCAAACAG
rnacentral:rRNA from 1 species